rnacentral:rRNA from 2 species
CCUGAUGCAGCGACGCCGCGUGAGGGAUGAAGGCCUUCGGGUUGUAAACCUCUUUCAGCAGGGAAGAAGCGCAAGUGACGGUACCUGCAGAAGAAGCGCCGGCUAACUACGUGCCAGCAGCCGCGGUAAUACGUAGGGCGCAAGCGUUGUCCGGAAUUAUUGGGCGUAAAGAGCUCGUAGGCGGUUUGUCGCGUCUGGUGUGAAAACUCAAGGCUCAACCUUGAGCUUGCAUCGGGUACGGGCAGACUAGAGUGCGGUAGGGGUGACUGGAAUUCCUGGUGUAGCGGUGGAAUGCGCAGAUAUCAGGAGGAACACCGAUGGCGAAGGCAGGUCACUGGGCCGCAACUGACGCUGAGGAGCGAAAGCAUGGGGAGCGAACAGGAUUAGAUACCCUGGUAGUCCAUGCCGUAAACGUUGGGCACUAGGUGUGGGGCUCAUUCCACGAGUUCCGUGCCGCAGCAAACGCAUUAAGUGCCCCGCCUGGGGAGUACGGCCGCAAGGCUAAAACUCAAAGGAAUUGACGGGGGCCCGCACAAGCGGCGGAGCAUGCGGAUUAAUUCGAUGCAACGCGAAGAACCUUACCAAGGCUUGACAUACACCGGAAACUUCCAGAGAUGGUUGCCCCGCAAGGUC